GCCGCCGGGCCCCCCGCGCAGGCGCACAGCGGGGCUGAGGCGAGGGCGGAGAUGGCGAAGAGGUGAAGGCGGGGGAGGGAGUGCCUGGGAACAGGCAGCAGAUGCCUGGCGAGGUGCCUUGCAGCUGGCGGCGGGUGGGGCCCGCCGGGCGGGCCGCCGCUUUCCCCUGUCGACGAAGGCUGCUGACGGGAAAACGACCCGGGAGGGAAGCGCCCCGGCCAGGCCCCCUCCCCUGAAAGUCUGCGGGAGCCGAGGGCCAGGUAGCCAGGCAAUGUUACAAAGGGACGUUGAGAAUCCCAAAGACCAACCUUCUCCAAAGACCCGAGACCCCUCUCUGCCCACUGCCGGUUCUCUGACCUCUGGCAAGUCACUUAGCCCGGCCCUCAGUUUCCCCACUCUUCUAGAGGGCUUGCGGCCGGCCGGAGAAUGGCCAAGAAGAAAAGAGUUCACAUCCCAAUCACUGCUUGCCUAUGACAGGAUUCAAAUGAAACAUGACAAACCUGUAAAAGCUGCAACCUGGACAUGUCAACGCAGAACUUUCCAGUGCACUGGAUGGGACUCAGGAGACGAAGCACACACAUUGCCGUGUCAUGUUGGGCAGCAUGGGAGAUGAAAGAGGAACCCGUGAAAGAGCAAGUCCUUGCUGGCUGAAGCGUGUGUGGUGGGGAAACUGCCAUGGUGUUCAUAGAUACAAGUGUGUAUCUAUCUGGAACUCGCCUCAUUAUGGAAAAAAUUUUGUGGAGAUACGCUGCACUGACUGGAACAUUAUUCCCUUGUUUUUUUAAGUUAUCAAAUUUAUAAAGCAGAAAGCAUUGGUUGUAAAACUAGUCAUUGAACUGGAAUUUAAUCCUGACCUAGUUCCCGAUGUUGGGUGGUAAUUAUUCUUAUUUACCAAAGCCCAGAGAAAAUCGGUGUUAAAAAACAACCUGGGUGAGCAUUGCUUUGAAGGGGAACAAGUUUCACUACCUUUAGGUAGAAGAGUUAGCUUUGUAAAACAUCUAGGUUGUCUUGCUGAAGGACUCUGACCACGGGGCAUGAACGAAAACAACUCGAGUGUUUAGGGGUUCUUCCACACGGCAGACAACAAGUUAAAGCUCCCCAGGGAAAGCACAGGAGGCGGGCGCAUUUGCAGAGCAAGCACUCCCGACUACCAUGGUGCGCCCCCGUGCCCAGCACAGCGUGCGGCCAGUCACUCAUCCAGGAGAAUGAAUCAACACUGUAUAAACACUCCCAGUAUUUGCUCAGUCUCCUCAGAGUUAUCAUUAAUCAGGUGAGCAUUUUCUGAUUUAAUCUGGUAAACAAACCAGUUGUACUUUAAAUUGGUCCUAAAGAAUAUAUAUAAUUGGAAUAGUUGUUAAGACACGAAGAAAUGCCAAAACAGAAGCCACCAGUUGGUCACUGUAUAUUAUUCUGCAUCAUUUAUUAAAUAUUUAUUUUUAUAUAUGCAUUUACAAACUUUAAGUACUCAUUUCAGAACUCUGCUUUCAAUACAUUUUUAAACUUUUUUGUAGAGAGAUUCUCUUGUAAAAUGAGAUCCAUGUACAAAACUAGGCAACAGAUAUAAAAGUUUCCUUUCAUACUUUUCAUCCAUCAAGAAAAGAAAUCAUGUGACAAAGAAAUAAAACCAAAACGUGGCUCUUUCACAAGAAUAACAUGUCAGUGUUCAACUAUGAGUUCUAACGGGAUAGAUCAUAUUUCAUCUUUAUAUGGAUGUAUAUAGUUUAAUACUUCUUAGCUACUGUAGCAUGUUGGUUCAGAUGAAGAAAAAAU